GUUACGAGUCCAAAAUAGGACGAAAUGCGCAUCCUGGAC
rnacentral:hammerhead_ribozyme from 1 species